GCCUCACUUUGUUGGCAAUGCCAAACUAAAAGAAGAAGCAUCGGUUGUUCUUAUGUGUGUUUAGGACAUUGCAUUGCUGUUAUUCAUAAACCAAGCUUGCCAACAUCCAUGAAUCUGCAAUUUUUUUUAAAACAGAUUUUAUUUACGCAGUUAUUGCUCCCAUUGUACCUUUUGAGUGGCAUGGUACCUUUCAUUAGUUACAGCACGUUGCCAACUGUACGUAAUUUUUUUAG